rnacentral:rRNA from 2 species
CUUGCUCCAGCAGGUUAGCGGCGGACGGGUGAGUAACACGUGGGCAACCUGCCUGUAAGACUGGGAUAACUCCGGGAAACCGGAGCUAAUACCGGAUAGUAUCUUGAACCGCAUGGUUCAAGUUGGAAAGACGGUUUCGGCUGUCACUUACAGAUGGGCCCGCGGCGCAUUAGCUAGUUGGUGAGGUAAUGGCUCACCAAGGCAACGAUGCGUAGCCGACCUGAGAGGGUGAUCGGCCACACUGGGACUGAGACACGGCCCAGACUCCUACGGGAGGCAGCAGUAGGGAAUCUUCCGCAAUGGACGAAAGUCUGACGGAGCAACGCCGCGUGAGUGAUGAAGGUUUUCGGAUCGUAAAACUCUGUUGUUAGGGAAGAACAAGUGCGAGAGUAACUGCUCGCACCUUGACGGUACCUAACCAGAAAGCCACGGCUAACUACGUGCCAGCAGCCGCGGUAAUACGUAGGUGGCAAGCGUUGUCCGGAAUUAUUGGGCGUAAAGCGCGCGCAGGCGGUUUCUUAAGUCUGAUGUGAAAGCCCCCGGCUCAACCGGGGAGGGUCAUUGGAAACUGGGAAACUUGAGUGCAGAAGAGGAGAGUGGAAUUCCACGUGUAGCGGUGAAAUGCGUAGAGAUGUGGAGGAACACCAGUGGCGAAGGCGACUCUCUGGUCUGUAACUGACGCUGANGCGCGAAAGCGUGGGGGAGCGAACAGGAUUAGAUACCCUGGUAGUCCACGCCGUAAACGAUGAGUGCUAAGUGUUAGAGGGUUUCCGCCCUUUAGUGCUGCAGCUAACGCAUUAAGCACUCCGCCUGGGGAGUANGGUCGCAAGACUGAAACUCAAGGAAUUGACGGGGGCCCGCACAAGCGGUGGAGCAUGUGGUUUAAUUUC